rnacentral:rRNA from 1 species
UACGGAGGGUGCAAGCGUUAAUCGGAUUUAUUGGGCGUAAAGGACGUGUAGGCGGGAUAGAAAGUCAGAUGUGAAAUCCCGGGGCUUAACCCCGGAACGGCAUCUGAAACUUCUAUUCUUGAGGGUAGGCGGAGAAAACGGAAUUCCACAAGUAGCGGUGAAAUGCGCAGAUAUGUGGAGGAACACCGGUGGCGAAAGCGGUUUUCUAGCUUACUCCUGACGCUGAGACGUGAAAGCGCGGGGAGCAAACAGG